ensembl:lincRNA
GCGCCCCGCCAGCCCCGCCCCUCUCCAACAUUCCGUCCCCCGCCUCGCGUGCGUGGGGAUCUACGUGGCUGUCACUUCUGGAGCCGCGCUGGGGACCUGGGAAGAUAACUGAGGCACGAGUCGGAGGGCUGGAGCUUCGGCCGACAGGGCUAGGCGCAGUCCUCCCUUUAGCUCCGAACGCGCCCGCCCCCUGCGCUGGCCGUGGUCCCAGCUGUUACCUCUGCAGAGCCUUUUCCUGCAGUGUGGUUCUUCCUCUCAGCCUCCCUCCGCGGCUUUCCCUGCGCAGAGGACCUGAGGAGGCUGUUGGGUCGUUGCCAAGCCGACCAGAGACCUGACUCCCUCUUAAACCGCGGUCGGACCGACCAGCGGACGUCCUCCGUAGGCAGAGGGUGGCCCUGGGAGGGAGGGGCAGAAGGGUGUAAAAUGCGGACUAACUUCCCCACCAAAGUGGAUAUUCAAAAUGAAAGGAUGCCCAGAGUGAUUGCCCAUCAGAUAUCUGCCCCCUGUGAAGCCUGCCAGUCUCCCAGAAUGCACCUGGAGGGGGUGGCUACUGGUGCAGCUGUGUGGAGAAGCCUUCCAGUUCCUCCAGUGUCAUGGCCUGGGACCUGCCUGGGUUUCUCAACUCUAUCAUUGCAACUGCUCCCACUGCAAAGAUGAGCAAACAGGCUUGGAGAUGCGAGAUGAUCUGUGAUACUAGGUGGCACCCCUAAGACUCAAUCCCACUAUGAUAGACAGCUAAGUUAGGUAGAAUAUUCCAGGCAGUCAGAUAGCGUCAGGACAAAGGUGAAACACACCACAACUAUGGCCAAAGACACAUCAGUUAUAGGCCAGGCUUCAAGAUAUAGACAAAAUGCCCAGGCCUGCAUACUUCUUCAAAGGACAAACACCAGGCCUAAUGAAGUCUAGAUAGACAUCAGUCACCCUCGUGGGUGACCAAGACCUCUGGACCCAUCAUUUCCUAGAAAAAGUCUUUGUUCUUUCCAUGCACUCUUGUUCCAUGACUUGUUUCUCCAUUAGAUAACUAUUUACCUAAGCGACCAUACUCGUAACCUUAUUGGUUAAUCGCAGCUGUAACCCAUGUUGUAUACACAUGGAUUUUGCUAUGUACAACUUCCCUGCAAAAUGGAGUCUCUUGCUACCCAUUCAGUUCUCUCCUGCCUCUCAGGAGCUACCCUCUCAAAAAAUAUUUUCUUACUCUUAACCUCCGUCAUUUCUAGAAUUCAUUCUUCGAUUUUAGAGAACCUGAACUUGGCAUAGCAGACAUCUAAUACGUUGGGAGUUAUAAUAUUUUCAUAUUUCAUCUCCUCUAUCACCACUUUCCACAUUCUGCAGCUGUCAGACAUAGAGUUAUUCUCUCCAACCUCUUCUAGUUGUUUUCAGCUGCUGUUGUCUUACUGGAGGUCAGAGGUGGGACUCUGAGGCUUAGACAGGAUGAGAAGCAGUUUUUGCUGGAGGUAGCCAGGGAUCCUCGACCAUCAGAUUGCAGAAAGCCCUUGUAGACCUACAGGAUGCCUGUGUCACUGUUUUCUGUCAUCCCUUGAGGGCUUUGGUUGAACAUAUAGUUAGACGUAUUUUCCAAAUCUCUAAAAGGCAGGAUGGCAGCAGGACAGUGGGAAGGGGGUCUGCAGUGGGUGUCAAGUACAGAGAACAGCUUUUCUGCUUCUAGAGAUGCACGUUUUGGCUUGCCUCACCUUGAAAUUGGAGAUUUCAUGGAGGAAAAUAUGUCAAGGUAGACAGAGUCUCUCCUUCAUGAGAUGUCAGAUGGCUAUUCUUGCAUGCAGUUAUUUUCUUUUAAAGUAAUUCAUAAUGGCAGAGCUCACUGCUGUAAUCAGUUUCUGUUUCCAUUAUAAAUUCAAUUUUGGAAGGUGAUGAUGGUGUUAUUUCAUCUUCCUCGGGGCCUCAAAUUUAUAUAGAUUUUUUACACACACACACACACACACACACACACACACACACACACAAAGCAGCAGCAGUUUGUAUGUUUAGAACAACUAAAAGCCUGGGCUUUUGGAGGAUAGUUUAGCAAUAGGAAUUUAGGCAAGAAUAGGGUAACAAGUAGGUAUCAACUUCCUUGUCAGCUCUGAACAAUUAGUAGAGAAGACUGAAGUAUUUUGUUGAGAAGGAUUCUGAGACCAUGACUAGAAUACAAAGAAGAGAGCUGUGAUUGAUUAGUGAUGUCUGUCAGGGCGCUCUGUCUGCAGCAAGGGAGAGGGGUAGAGGAAACCACUCAUCUAUAUACACUGCAGUAAGUUUUCUCCCAACAAGGACUUCUUCUUCAUAGCCUUUGAUAGUUGCAAAAGCAUUUUUUAUGAACUUUUUUUUUAUUUAGCCGUUACAUUAACUGGGUAAAUUCACUAGAGCUAAUUUAUCUUCCUAUUGAUUUACCUGCUAGAUAUUUAUUAGAUAAGUUACUGUACCAGAC